rnacentral:misc_RNA from 1 species
UCUCCGUUGGUGAACCAGCGGAGGGAUCAUUAAUGGAAUCGCAAGAUCUCCCUUAAACCAUCGUGAACAUACCGAAACGUUGCCUCGGCGGGCGCCUGGUGCUUCUGGCGCCGGGCGUUCAGCCCGCCGGCGGCCCCUUACUCUUUGCCUCUCGCGUUGUCUCUCCGAGUAUCGCAGAAUGCAUAAAAACUUUCAACAACGGAUCUCUUGGUUCUGGCAUCGAUGAAGAACGCAGC